rnacentral:tRNA from 1 species
GCCCUCUUGGCUCAGUGGUAAAGCGCAUCACUAGUAUCAAAUUGCAAACAGCAUUUCUAUCGACAUGAUGAGAUCAGUGGUUCGAUUCCACUAGGGGGCA